UGCUCUUGCAGUGGUGGCACCGGAAGCAGGGGCGGUGAUAGACGCGGCCGUCGGCGGCAAGCUCCUCGACGGGGUACACCCUCCGGCCGCACGACGCGCACUUCUGCGUGGUGCCGCCCCACGCCCCCGACAUCCCCUUGCUGUCGCCGCCCUCCUGCUCCGUCGUGCUCGCGAUAGAGAAGCGAAGGAUCGGGGAGGGAGAAGAAGAGAGGGGGGAAGAAAGAGGCGACGGCGAUGGAUGGGGUGGAUGAUUGGCGAGUGUGGAAAUGGAAGGAGAGGGCAGCACAGCUCAGGCGGGCCUGUGGUGCAGGGAGAGAGGCGUGGGACUGGGAGAAUAGCGGAAGCG
rnacentral:misc_RNA from 1 species